rnacentral:rRNA from 1 species
UGGAUCCAGACUUUGAUUAUGGCUCAGGAUGAACGCUGGCGGCGUGCCUAAUACAUGCAAGUCGAACGAAACUUCUUUAUCACCGAGUGCUUGCACUCACCGAUAAAGAGUUGAGUGGCGAACGGGUGAGUAACACGUGGGCAACCUGCCCAAAAGAGGGGGAUAACACUUGGAAACAGGUGCUAAUACCGCAUAACCAUAGUUACCGCAUGGCAACUAUGUAAAAGGUGGCUAUGCUACCGCUUUUGGAUGGGCCCGCGGCGCAUUAGCUAGUUGGUGGGGUAAAGGCUUACCAAGGCAAUGAUGCGUAGCCGAACUGGGAGGUUGAUCGGCCACAUUGGGACUGAGACACGGCCCAAACUCCUGCGGGAGGCAGCAGUAGGGAAUCUUCCACAGUGGGCGAAAGCCUGAUGGAGCAACGCCGCGUGGGUGAAGAAGGUCUUCGGAUCGUAAAACCCUGUUGUUAGAGAAGAAAGUGCGUGAGAGUAACUGUUCACGUUUCGACGGUAUCUAACCAGAAAGCCACGGCUAACUACGUGCCAGCAGCCGCGGUAAUACGUAGGUGGCAAGCGUUAUCCGGAUUUAUUGGGCGUAAAGGGAACGCAGGCGGUCUUUUAAGUCUGAUGUGAAAGCCUUCGGCUUAACCGGAGUAGUGCAUUGGAAACUGGGAGACUUGAGUGCAGAAGAGGAGGGUGGAACUCCAUGUGUAGCGGUGAAAUGCGUAGAUAUAUGGAAGAACACCAGUGGCGAAAGCGGCUCUCUGGUCUGUAACUGACGCUGAGGUUCGAAAGCGUGGGUAGCAAACAGGAUUAGAUACCCUGGUAGUCCACGCCGUAAACGAUGAAUGCUAAGUGUUGGAGGGUUUCCGCCCUUCAGUGCUGCAGCUAACGCAAUAAGCAUUCCGCCUGGGGAGUACGACCGCAAGGUUGCAACUCAAAUGAAUUGACGGA